UUGAGAGGCUGAUAUUUAACAUGUGGUAGGCAACGAGACAUAACGAUAGAAACGGUAAAACUAGCAUGGCAAUGAUAGUAACGGUAUCUGGGGAAAUGAUCAUCUUGCCUNNNNNNNNNNNNNNNNNNNNNNNNNNNNNNNNNNNNNNNNNNNNNNNNNNNNNNNNNNNNNNNNNNNNNNNNNNNNNNNNNNNNNNNNNNNNNNNNNNNNNNNNNNNNNNNNNNNNNNNNNNNNNNNUAGCCGAAACUAAGGGGGCAAAGGUGGAACAAAACACCAGGCUAGAAAGGCCGAGCCUUCCACCUUUUACCAAGUAUAUAGGUGCAUUAAAUUAAAUAGCAUUUAAAAAUGGUGAUAUAACAAGGAACCCAUGCUUUCGCAUGGAAGCAUCUGCACCUGCAACUAGCAACGCUAUCAANNNNNNNNNNNNNNNNNNNNNNNNNNNNNNNNNNNNNNNNNNNNNNNNNNNNNNNNNNNNNNNNNNNNNNNNNNNNNNNNNNNNNNNNNNNNNNNNNNNNGAUUUGUUUACCCAAGCAUAGUUGUUUAUCGUCUUUUGGGAGAGAGACAUCACUAGUGAACAUCAUGUGACUCCGGUCCAUAUCACCAUCAUUGUUUACACCUCCAUCAUUUACCGUUUCAUUUACUUUUCCGCUGCAAUCACUAUUACUUUCCCGCUUGUGUUUUGAUCCUUUGCAAACUACAAGGCCGGAGAGAUUGACAACCUCUCUGUACUCAUUGGGAGCAAAGUUAUUUGUUGUGUGUGCAGGUACACGUCUUCUGCUAGCGCCAGGGUGGAAGACACCUACUUGUUGAGCCUAGGAGUCCUCUUGGUUCAAUAAACCUUACAGUCUCCGUGUAAGGGAAAUCUGCUGCUGACUACAUCUCCACCUUCCACCUGGUGUAACCACCGAGGGGUGAGAAUUAUAUCCAUCAACUCGUCAUCAAGCAAAUUUCUGGCGUCGUUGCCGGGGACUCCAGUCUUCAAGAUACGGGAGUUGCACACUAUCUUUUACCUUUGAUUUUUAGUCUUUAUAGUUUGCUUUUCAUGAUUGGCAUGACUAGUUAGGCUUAUGGAAAACUGCACUCUUAGUUCGCUGCUUGGGGAAGGACGCUUUACUACACCCGUGGUAGAGAAGCCUCCUCCACCUACUUAAUGUAUCCCAUUCAAAAUACCACUUGGGAUAAUUGAAAUAAUUAGGAAUUAUUGUUAUGCACGAGAUGGAACAAUCAAUCCUAAUAUUCAUUUGUUGAAACUUUCAGAACUUUGUGAGUUGUUAGAUUUCAAGUUUGAUAAGAGAUGGAGUCAUGAGGAAAUUAUUUGCCUUGUCACUGAAAGGAAAAACAUUGGAAUGGUAUAGGAUACUAGAUGAUUCUCACCUACGGGAUUGGGAAAAGAUUCAGUCUCUCUUUUACUCCAAGUUUUAUCCUCUUCAUGAAGUCCAUGAGAAUAGGAAUUAUGUUUAUAAUUGUGACAGCCCGAUGCCGACGUUCCAGAAGAUUCCCUUUCCUUUCCGUUUUCGUCGUGUGUCUGUUUUAUUUUGUCGCAUCAUCAUUGCAUCAUUCGCAUCAUCUGCAUUGCAUCGGCAUCUCCGUUGCCGCCAGUUUUCAAACGUUGCAUCCGUUGUUAGCUGCCGGUUCUCGUCGUUGUCCGUUCUGAGCCCGACCGUACUCGCACGCGCCCGCGGCUUCGUCAAAACCCUGUUUUAAAAGUGUGUUGAAAACUUUCUCUGAUCGAGGUGAAACUUGGCAUGUGGUCGUGUUUAGUUAUAGCUAGGCCGUCUGUCGAAUUUCGUCGCGAUCGGAGUUCGUCUGGUACCCGAACGGUCGACCGUAGCGGCACCGUAUUCGGUCUAUCGUCGGACGUUUUCCGGUAUUUUAAAUCUCAUUGCCGGGCUGCCCGUUUUCCCUCUCGUCUCCGCCUAGCCCCUCUGCACAGUGCACUGACCCCACACGCAACCUAGUCCAAAAACCUCCCGGUACCCGAAACACACGGUCGGAACCGUUGGAUCCAGAUCAACCCCGUUCUACUGUAAACCGUCAUCGGUUUGUCCACUGGACUCCCUAAGCUAGCCAUUUCCGACCGCCCAAUUUAAGAUGGAGGGUCCAGAUAGCCGUGGACCUAGACCCAUUUGCUAGAUAUUUAGAGCCACUUAGCCCAAUCAGACCAAAACCUAGUUUCUAGGGAUCCUCCCCUGUUCCAUCUGUGCGCCGCCACCCACCUCGGAGUCCAGCCCGAUCCAAUCAGCACGCAGCGCGGUCCCAGUUCUUCCCUCGAUCCCCAGGCGGUGACCUCACCAGCCGCCGUGCCGCGUUCUGCACCUGCCGGCACCGAGCUGCCCCAGCCGCGCCGCACCGAGCCCUCCCUUCGCCGAAGCCCUGGAGAGCACCGCCUCGUCGGGACCAGGCUGCCUCUCCUCCUCCCUGCUUCCUUUCCUCUCACUGGUUCUCUCCCCCAUGCUGAGCUCUGUCCUCUUUCCCUUCCCCAGGUACCGUGUCCGAGGCUACUGCGGGUCGGCCUCUCGGCGCCAGUCGCUGCAGCCGUUGGGAAUGGGGCCAGCCACCGGAUCUGGUGGAGUUGGAUCCUUCCCCGUCGCAAAAUGGCUCCACAUUGCGAGGUUCUUCGCUUCACCGAGCUCCUGCGCCUCCCUGUUGCCCGCCUGCAACGCCAAGCUGACGAGGUCGUGCCUCCCUCUCCAUGCGUUGAGUGCGUGGGCCUCGAGGCCUCUCACCUGCACGGGACGGUGGCCGCGCCUGAGCGCUCGCUCGGCCACACCCGGUUCCAGCGCUCGCUGGUCUCCUCCUUCCUCCUUUUCUUUCCUAUGCUCUGAAACUCUUCUUGUUUGUUUCCUGUUUGACUGCAGCCCAUGUGCUGGAGCGGAAGCUGUGGCCACCGGAGCUUCAUUGAGCGCCCCAGCACCGGGAACGGGACUCCCUCGCCUAGGACCUUGCCCCCUCGAGCUCGCCCUGUCCCUCCUCUGCUUCCUCUCGCUGUGGCCGCCGGUAGCGGUUUCCCCGAUGUGAGCAGCUUCAGCCUGAACUCUGCCCUUUUUUUCCAGAUCUGUUCGGUUAUAGCAGGUUAAUUGUUGUAGACUCUGAAGCUCUCCGUGAGCAAGUCAGUAGCCGGGUGGUUAGCGCAGCCAAUUUCAUAGCAGUGGACUGGGGUUCGAAUCCCACGCGUCCCCAUUUUGUUGCUGUGAUUUCUCCAUUUUAAAUAUGUACUUCACCGCGAGCACAACUAGCCGGUUGUUUUGUUUUCGUCAGGUUCAGUUCAGCUGUGUCAUUUAGGUUCAGAUUCAGCAUGUGCGUGUGCUCAUCUAGCGAAGGGAGCCAGCUUUUUAACACUAGCAUAUCUUAGCCCAGCUGGUCACGACUUCGCAUCUCCACCCAGUAGACCAGGGUUCAAAUCCCAUCAGGUCCAAUAUACUUUUUCUCUCGUUUUUGCUUGUCUUUUAUCAGCCUGAUUGUUAUCUUCAAUAACCGAAUGCACAGAGCACAAGGGCACUUCGAGCCUUGCUGGUUAACCCAGCGCAUUGGCAUUGUGGAGAUCUGGGGUUCAAAUCCCAGUUCUUUCCCAUAUUAUUUUUCCCUUGUCAUUUUUUUAUACGCUAGGAUUUUUGCUAUACCAGGUUAUAAGUAUAUUUUCAAACGCCCGUAGAUUCUAUUCCGUGUGUCGGAUUUUGACGAGUUAGAUUUGUAGCUUGACUAGAAUUUCGCAUAGGUUAAUAAUUUCCAACUCUCAUGCAUAAUUAGAACUGUUUAGUGUGUUGUUUGCAUCGGUUGCGUGUCGACGUGUUGAAAACGGUUUAGGUCGUAACUAUUUGACCGUAGCUCCGUUCGAGAUGAGCCAUAUAUGUAAAUAGUCUAGAACGAUGUGUAGUUUCACGUGAACCACUUUGUUUUGCCGUUUAACAAACCUAAAAUGUGAUGAGAACAAAUCUGGACAGAAUUAAGAUUUAACACGUGGUGUCAUUUCGGAGAUGCUAUAUUUCGUUUCCGGACUCAUUUAAAAUGCCUAGCUAGGUAGAUUAAUUUGUGCUUCACCCUCGUGCCAUGUUUAACAACAUUUAAUAUAGUCGUGUACCUGAACGGGAGUGAACUAAAUAAUUAAACGUGGAGUUUCGUCGAUAUGCAACUCGUUGCAUAUCGACCUUCACUUAAUGUGUAGUGUUUGAUUGUUGUGAUUGCCAUCCCUUGCAUUUUAACCUGUUCAUGCAUCAUAUUAGGGUUUGCAUCAUGUCUUGCUUUGUGGUGGUGAAUACUUGUGUUGAUGUUUGUUUCCGGUUUGCCCGUCUCGAUAGAGUUCCGCAAGCGUGUCGGAAUGUGAGGACCCGUUCGACUACGUUGGUUUGCCGACUUCUCCGAGUUGUUCUUCUUCCAAGCGGGAUCUCAGGCAAGAUGAUCAUUUCCCCAGAUACCAUUACUAUCAUUGCCAUGCUAGUUAUUUCGAUGCUAUCGAUUAUGUCUCGUUGCCUACCACGUGUUAAAUAUCAGCCUCUCAACAAUGCCAUGAAUACCUUCAACCUGUCGACCUAGCAAACCACUGAUUCGCUAUGUUACCGCUUGCUUACCCAUGUUGUUAGCGUUGCUAGUUGCAGGUGCAGAUGCUUCCAUGUGAUAACAUGGGUUCCUUGUCAUAUCACCCUAUUAAAUGCUAUUUAAUUUAAUGCACCUAUAUACUUGGUAAAAGGUGGAAGGCUCGGCCUUUCUAGCCUGGUGUUUUGUUCCACCUUUGCCCCCCUUAGUUUCCGGCUACCGGUGUUAUGUUCCAUAAAUGAGCGCUCCUAACACGAUCGGGGUUGUUAUGGGGACCCCCUUGAUAAUUCGUUUUAGNN
rnacentral:lncRNA from 1 species